rnacentral:sRNA from 1 species
CGUCUAAAGAUACUGUAAGAGAGGAUCAGGUUCAAGACCAGCGCUUAAUUGCGCGGUUGCGGCUUGGUUCGCCUUUUGCGGAACAUGUCUUUUCUCGUUGUUAACUCUACUUCAACUUCUACAACACUGUGGAGUUUUCUACACAACUUUUCUUCUUUGGGAAGAUACGUCUUGUGCGUGCUUCCCAGAGGUGACAAACACAAACAACUUUUUAUUAUUAUAAACCAGUCAAAACCAAUUUCGUUAUGAAAUUAAAAAUAUUUAAAACUUUCAACAACGGAUCUCUUGGUUCUCGCAUCGAUGAAGAACGCAGCGAAAUGCGAUACGUAAUGUGAAUUGCAGAAUUCCGUGAAUCAUCGAAUCUUUGAACGCACAUUGCGCCCCUUGGUAUUCCAGGGGGCAUGCCUGUUUGAGCGUCAUUUCCUUCUCAAACAAUCAUGUUUGGUAGUGAGUGAUACUCUGUCAAGGGUUAACUUGAAAUUGCUAGCCUGUUAUUUGGUUGUGAUUUUGCUGGCUUGGAUGACUUUGUCCAGUCUAGCUAAUACCGAAUUGUCGUAUUAGGUUUUACCAACUUCGGCAGACUGUGUGUUGGCUCGGGCGCUUUAAAGACUUUGUCGUAAACGAUUUAUCGUUUGUUUGAGCUUUUCGCAUACGCAAUCCGGCGAACAAUACUCUCAAAGUUUGACCUCAAAUCAGGUAGGAAUACCCGCUGAACUUAAGCAUAUCAAUAAGCGGAGGAAAAGAAACCAACCGGGAUUGCCUUAGUAACGGCGAGUGAAGCGGCAAAAGCUCAAAUUUGAAAUCUGGUACCUUCGGUGCCCGAGUUGUAAUUUGUAGAAGGUAACUUUGGGGCUGGUCCUUGUCUAUGUUCCUUGGAACAGGACGUCAUAGAGGGUGAGAAUCCCGUGUGGCGAGGAUCCCAGUUCUUUGUAAAGUGCUUUCGAAGAGUCGAGUUGUUUGGGAAUGCAGCUCUAAGUGGGUGGUAAAUUCCAUCUAAAGCUAAAUAUUGGCGAGAGACCGAUAGCGAACAAGUACAGUGAUGGAAAGAUGAAAAGAACUUUGAAAAGAGAGUGAAAAAGUACGUGAAAUUGUUGAAAGGGAAGGGCAUUUGAUCAGACAUGGUGUUUUGCGCCCUCUGCUCCUUGUGGGUGGGGGAAUCUCGCAGCUCACUGGGCCAGCAUCAGUUUUGGCGGCAGGAUAAAUCUGCAGGAAUGUAGCUUGCCUCGGUAAGUGUUAUAUCCUGUAGAAAUACUGCCAGCUGGGACUGAGGACUGCGAC